CCAGAAAUGAUGCUGUUACACUUAGCUUGGAUAGCCCACCUUAAACAAAAUAAACCAAAUGUUAGUAACACACUACCUGAUAGCGGCUAAGCUCAUAAUAGCCAGAAAUUGGAAGAAGACAUACAAAUUAUCUAAAAAGGAGCUGCUGCAACAAGUAAAAUUUCAGUUACGAAUGGAAAUAGGGGUUAACAAAAUUAGAAACAACUAUAAAGAUUAUGAUAUGUUGAUUGAAUGGG